AUGAGACGUUCUUGAACAUAGAAAUUUCGUGUAGGGGUUGACUAUUGGUGCCUUUACCCUACGAUAAGUACGAGAGAAACGUCUAACACUUCUGGAGCGUUUGCCGAAAGUUAUAAAUAGCUCAGUUUUAAGCCAGGACCGCCAUUAUAUUUUUGACCGUCGGAUUGUCACUUUCUCUGGCUUAUUCGUAGACGUAAAAACAAAGAGCCAGUUCAGUGUCAGGUUGCAUGGUCAACCUACCGAGUACACCUAACCUGACGGUGACAAGCAGGUUUACUCGGGAAUCCAGUAGAGAGUUAGGUCCAGGUCGCGAGAGGGGCCUGGCGUCAGCCUUUUUACCAACACAGGUGACGAUUAUACCUCUUACAUUUUCUUCAAGGUCUGACAGAGGGAUAUGAGGGUCUCACGUGUGGACCAUUAGGAGUAAUCCUUACUCAUUGAAAUCUGUUGGUAAUUGAAGAAGCGUUGUCUUGUUAAAUAUAUUUAUUUAUACACAUUAUAUACAUGGUUAGGGCGCCUUAUUCAUCUGUACCCAGGCUUCGGCUAACACAGAUGGAGGGAGGCAAUCACACAGACACUAGGGUUUGCUAUACCUCGGUUUUGUCGGCCGAACGUUUAGAGCUUAAAUUAGGGUCCCUCACACACACUCCUCCCUGUAAAAAUAGAGGUUCGCCUCUAGUUUUACACACAUUAGAAUAGGUGAAUUUGGGGUAGAGUUAGGGUAGAGUCAUUAUUUGGGUGU